rnacentral:rRNA from 1 species
AACGAACGCUGUCGGUAUGCUUAACACAUGCAAGUCGAACGGACUAAUUGGGGCUUGCUCCAAUUAGUGAGUGGCAGACGGGUGAGUAACGCGUGGGAAUCUACCCAUCAGUACGGAAUAACUUUUAGAAAUAAAAGCUAAUACCGUAUAUUCUCUACGGAGGAAAGAUUUAUCGCUGAUGGAUGAGCCCGCGUCAGAUUAGGUAGUUGGUGAGGUAAUGGCUCACCAAGCCGACGAUCUGUAGCUGGUUUGAGAGGAUGAUCAGCCACACUGGGACUGAGACAGGGCCCAGAGUCCUACGGGACGCAUCAUUGGGGAAUAUUGGACAAUGGGCGACAGCCUGAUCCAGCAAUACCGAGUGAGUGAUGAACGCCUUAGGGUUGUAGAACUCUUUUAGCCAGGAACAUAAUGACGUUCCCUGCAGAAACAGCCCCGGCUACACUCCGUGCCCCCAGCCGCGGUAACACGGCGGGGGCCACCGUUGUUCGUAAUUA